UACGUAGGGGGCAAGCGUUGUCCGGAAUCAUUGGGCGUAAAGAGCGUGUAGGCGGUCCGAUAAGUCCGCUCUGAAAGCCCGGGGCUCAACCCCGGGAGGCGGGCGGAUACUGUCGGGCUAGAGUCCGGAAGAGGCAAGUGGAAUUCCUGGUGUAGCGGUGAAAUGCGUAGAUAUCGUAAGGAAGACCAGUGGCGAAGGCGGGUCUCUGGACAGUUCCUGACGCUGAGGCACGAAGGUCAGGGGAGCAAACGGG
rnacentral:rRNA from 1 species